rnacentral:rRNA from 1 species
CUACGGGUGGCAGCAGUGGGGGAUCUUAGACAAUGGGGGCAACCCUGAUCUAGCCAUGCCGCGUGAGUGAUGAAGGCCUUAGGGUCGUAAAGCUCUUUCGCCUGUGAUGAUAAUGACAGUAGCAGGUAAAGAAACCCCGGCUAACUCCGUGCCAGCAGCCGCGGUAAUACGGAGGGGGUUAGCGUUGUUCGGAAUUACUGGGCGUAAAGCGCGCGUAGGCGGAUUAGAAAGUUGGGGGUGAAAUCCCGGGGCUCAACCCCGGAACUGCCUCCAAAACUGCUAGUCUAGAGUUCGAGAGAGGUGAGUGGAAUUCCGAGUGUAGAGGUGAAAUUCGUAGAGAUUCGGAGGAACACCAGUGGCGAAGGCGGCUCACUGGCUCGAUACUGACGCUGAGGUGCGAAAGUGUGGGGAGCAAACAGGAUUAGAUACCCGCGUAGUC